UUUGACCCAACACGGGAAACCUCACCCGGCCCGGACACGGAAAGGAUUGACAGAUUGAUAGCUCUUUCUCGAUUCUGUGGGUGGUGGUGCAUGGCCGUUCUUAGUUGGUGGAGCGAUUUGUCUGGUCAAUUCCGAUAACGAACGAGACUCUGGCAUGCUAACUAGUUAUGCGACCCCCGAGCGGUCGGCGUCCUAUGGAAGAAAGAGACUUGGGGGUCAUCAUUGACCACAAGAUGAACAUGAGCCUGCAAUGCGAUGCGGCGGCUAGU
rnacentral:ncRNA from 1 species